rnacentral:rRNA from 1 species
GGAAGUAAAAGUCGUAACAAGGUCUCCGUUGGUGAACCAGCGGAGGGAUCAUUACCGAGUUUACAACUCCCAAACCCAAUGUGAACGUUACCAAACUGUUGCCUCGGCGGGAUCUCUGCCCCGGGUGCGUCGCAGCCCCGGACCAAGGCGCCCGCCGGAGGACCAACCAAAACUCUUAUUGUAUACCCCCUCGCGGGUUUUUUUAURAUCUGAGCCUUCUCGGCGCCUCUCGUAGGCGUUUCGAAAAUGAAUCAAAACUUUCAACAACGGAUCUCUUGGUUCUGGCAUCGAUGAAGAACGCAGCGAAAUGCGAUAAGUAAUGUGAAUUGCAGAAUUCAGUGAAUCAUCGAAUCUUUGAACGCACAUUGCGCCCGCCAGUAUUCUGGCGGGCAUGCCUGUCCGAGCGUCAUUUCAACCCUCGAACCCCUCCGGGGGGUCGGCGUUGGGGAUCGGCCCUCCCUUAGCGGGGUGGCCGUCUCCGAAAUACAGUGGCGGUCUCGCCGCAGCCUCUCCUGCGCAGUAGUUUGCACACUCGCAUCGGGAGCGCGGCGCGUCCACAGCCGUUAAACACCCAACUUCUGAAAUGUUGACCUCGGAUCAGGUAGGAAUACCCGCUGAACUUAAGCAUAUCAAUAAGC